AAAAAUCGGGAGAUGGAUAAGAACUGUUUCCGGAGGGAUUCAGGACCCUCAGGUGGUGCAAAUAGGAUUAUUAAGAGAGCAAGAGUGGAGGAACCAGUUCAAGCAGUGCCGAUGAAUGUGGUCAGACCAUCAAUCUGUGGAGACUAUGGUAAGGUACAUUUGGGCGAGUGUAGGAAACACUCUGGUGCUUGUUUCUGAUGUGGAUCUAUGGAGCAUAGAGUACGGGACUGCCUUUAGAAAGCUGAUCAGAUUCAAGUUGCUGAACAGAGG
rnacentral:lncRNA from 1 species